GACAGAGGUCCCGAGCGUUAGGCGGAAUCACUGGGCUUAAAGCGUGUGUAGGCGGAGUGCUAAGUACCUUGUGAAAUCCCGCGGCUCAACCGUGGAACUGCUUGGUAUACUGGUUCUCUUGAGCCACCUAGGGGCAACCGGAACAAACGGUGGAGCGGUGAAAUGCGUAGAUAUCGUGUGGAACGCCAAUGGUGAAAACAGGUUGCUGGGGGUGUGCUGACGCUGAGACGCGAAAGCCAGGGGAGCAAACGGG
rnacentral:rRNA from 1 species